rnacentral:rRNA from 1 species
UAGACAAUGGGGGCAACCCUGAUCCAGCAAUGCCGCGUGCAGGAAGAAGGCCUUCGGGUUGUAAACUGCUUUUGUACGGAACGAAAAGGCUCUGGUUAAUACCUGGAGC